rnacentral:rRNA from 1 species
CAUGCAGUCGAGCGGUAGAGAGAAGCUUGCUUCUCUUGAGAGCGGCGGACGGGUGAGUAAUGCCUAGGAAUCUGCCUGGUAGUGGGGGAUAACGUUCGGAAACGGACGCUAAUACCGCAUACGUCCUACGGGAGAAAGCAGGGGACCUUCGGGCCUUGCGCUAUCAGAUGAGCCUAGGUCGGAUUAGCUAGUUGGUGGGGUAAUGGCUCACCAAGGCGACGAUCCGUAACUGGUCUGAGAGGAUGAUCAGUCACACUGGAACUGAGACACGGUCCAGACUCCUACGGGAGGCAGCAGUGGGGAAUAUUGGGCAAUGGGCGAAAGCCUGAUCCAGCCAUGCCGCGUGUGUGGAGAAGGUCUUCGGAUUGUAAAGCACUUUAAGUUGGGAGGAAGGGCAGUAAAUUAAUACUUUGCUGUUUUGACGUUACCGACAGAAUAAGCACCGGCUAACUCUGUGCCAGCAGCCGCGGUAAUACAGAGGGUGCAAGCGUUAAUCGGAAUUACUGGGCGUAAAGCGCGCGUAGGUGGUUAGUUAAGUUGGAUGUGAAAUCCCCGGGCUCAACCUGGGAACUGCAUUCAAAACUGACUGACUAGAGUAUG